CCUACGGGAGGCAGCAGUGAGGAAUAUUGGUCAAUGGGCGAAAGCCUGAACCAGCAACGCCGCGUGAAGGAUGACGGCCUUCGGGUUUUAAAGCUCUGUCCUCAAGGAAGAUAAUGACGGUACGUGAGGAGGAAUCCCCGGCUAACUACGUUGCAGCAGCCGCGGUAAUACGUAGGGAGCGAGCGUUAUCCGGAUUUACUGGGCGUAAAGGGUGCGUAGGUGGUUUCUUAAGGCAGGAGUGAAAAGGUUCGGCUUAACCCGAGGACUGCCUUUGAAACUGGAGGACUUGAGUGCAGUAGAGGUAGGCGGAAUUCGUGGUGUAGCGGUGAAAUGCGUAGAUAUCGGGAGGAACACCAGUGGCGAAGGCGGCUUACUGGACUGUAACUGACACUGAGGCACGAAAGCGUGGGUAGCAAACAGGAUUAGAUACCCUUGUAGUC
rnacentral:rRNA from 1 species